rnacentral:sRNA from 1 species
UUGCAAUAGGGAUUGGUACGGAAAUCCUUUUUCUGAAUUUUCAUCAGAAAAAGAUUGGAGAGAAAGCCCGACCCCAA